rnacentral:rRNA from 1 species
GACAAAGUUCAACGGCCACGGUAUCCUAACCGUGCGAAGGUAGCAUAAUCACUUGUUCUUUAAAUGGGGACUUGUAUCAACGGCACCACGAGGGUUAGACUGUCUCCUUUUUCAAAUCAGUGAAAUUAAUCUCCCCGUGAAGAAGCGGGGAUACUCAUAUAAGACGAGAAGACCCCAUGGAGCUUCAAACCCAACUACACCCCUAGCUCUUAUAGCCCCACAACCCCCCCCCCCC